CAUCAUUCGCCUCGGGUCGAAGAGUCGAUAAUUCCUGGCGAAGGUGUCCGUGAUGGAGCGAGGCCUCCCUCGCAAGGGAGGAUGUCACGAGAUAAGGUCGUCGACUCGCGACUGGGUGGAACCGAGGGACCACUUUCAGCGGGCGAUAACGACGAAAUCACGAGCGUGAUUCUCGUUUACGCGCGGGGUCCCUUUACUGGAUCGACUAACGUUCCCAUGGGAGAGCGUGGUAGUUGUAACCCAGCGACACGCCAGGUCUCCCCGCAAGACCAGGUGUAACGCUGGAACGGCAUUCCAUGUUGCAACUGAUGCGCGGCGCCGGUGCAACGAUCGUUGCACACGACCCCCGCGAGAGCGAGAGGCACGAUAACGCGAAGCUGAAAGUUUCGAAAGGUAUGGUGCAGUGCACAUUCGUGUCAGCGGAAUUGCUGAUAAGCUCUUUUAAACUUGAAAUUACUUUUAGAAUUUGUUAUGAAAUUAAAACUUUAUAAUAAACAUUCAUUAAACACAUAUUUUUUUAAGUUAAAUUUUUUUACGAAUUAAAACAAUUUUUAUAGCGGGCAAUAUUGCUAAUUUCUAAGAGAAUUCUAAAAAUAUCCAUCUUUUUUUUCACAUGGCCUGCGGUUGAAUUGACGUUGCUUUAGUCGUCCAUAAAUUUAUUAUCGUCGGAGCUUACUGGUCGACUUCCUUCUUGUUCCUCUCGAUGAGUUAAUAAACGAAGCGGCAUCCGUGGCUUAGCACGAUCGAUGCGUCAUCGGCCGUUAAGUGCGAUUAAUCGUGAGCGUGAUCAGGCGUGCUCGAUCGUCUGGUUCAGACCUCGAACUGGGUCUCUCUUCGAGAUUCACAACAUUUCUUGUACGCGACGAACGCAGCGUUAGAAGCCUUUUAUAUACCUAGUUUUAAAACUGAUAAUGCGCGUUCUUCAGUGACGAAGAAAUGGAAUAUUAAGAAUUAUGAUCAGAAAAAGUCACAAACUAAUUUCGGUAUCUGGAUUAUCAAAAGUUUUUGAGAAACAUAUAAUGUCGAUCACUGAAAGAGCGGUACACGCAAAGUUUUAUGAGUGACGCACAUUUUAAUAUAAAAAGAAUGACGCGACUUUUAUCUACAUUUCUUGAAAUCGUCACGUAUUUCGAAAUUCAAGUUAGAUUAAUUCAAAGGAAAUUAAGACUUUCGGUACAAUAAAAUGCAAAAUUGCUUGUAAGAAAGUAGUAAAUAAAUUUUUAAUAAAUUUUUGUCAAUUAAAAGAAUACGGGACAGGCAUUGGCAAAGCAAAAUUACGACGAAAUUCCACAAAGAAAGGUUUUGCAUAUCGGGAACUGCUUGCAUGUAUAAUUUCUAUUGAAUUGCUAAUUUCCACGUUGGGGCAAAUGAUACUCGCCACUCUUCGGUAUCGAGAGAAAACGCAUCAAGAAGGCAAUACCGCGGUAUCUGCCUCGAAAGAGCAUUCCGCCAUAACACAAGUUUAAUUGGGCUCCGGUCCUUCGCUGAGGAAUCAACGUUGGGACCCGCGCGAAAGGUCCAACGAGGGGAUUCCAGGAUGCUCUCGGAGGAUACAAUGUCGUUGUUACCACCUGGACCAUCUUCGUCCAGCCGGCGGGAUAAUUGCGCGAUGACAUAUCUGCGCUUUUUAUUAGCGACGGCCACACGUGGAUCGCGAGAAUCUCUUCGUCGGUUGGCAAUUAGACGAACGGAAGUACAGAAGUAUGCGAGCGUCGUAAAGCGGAGCGGCCCCUGGCACAAAUCGGCCCACCGGGACUCGGACGGGCGGGGGCAUUCGUCAAAUAAUUGACAAAUGGAUUUAAUUGCUGGUCAGAUUUCUUGCUUCGCUACCGUCAAACGCACGUGAACGCGAUGAGAUACUCGCGGCGCUAAUUGCUAGAUAAUUUAACGUCGCGGGUUGUUUUGAUACGGCCCCGGCCUUAAUAGCUUGACAGUGGAUUCAUUUCGUUGUUGGCACACACGAGAGUCACUCUUAAAAAUCGCCGUGUCGUGUUCUUCGAUUUUUUAAGGAAACUUUUUGUGGUCCGUAAACGUUGUUUUAUAUAUCGCAUCCGAGGAAGACACUUUGAAAUAUAACGGAGUUAUGUUUACCUGGAGGUUAUAUAUUACUUUUACGUUCUUGGAUUUCUUUUUUGCGCGUGUAUCGUUAGCUUAUUUGUCCAAGUACGUUCCGUAGCCGAUUGAUUAAACUGGGACGACCGAGGGGCUCGCCAUUGCUUUAUUAUGCACAGGUCGAGCGUCGUUCGAUUCGUUAUCUCGGUAUCCGCGGCUAAUUUACUCUGACAAAUACGGAUCGUUCGUUUGUCCAGGAUACAGCUGCGCGCUCAUGCAGGCCCCACAUCCAUGCCCGCCGCGAUCCACUUUAAUAAAGCGCACCGAUUACUCACCCGGAUGUUUUAGACCGGAUGGACAGCUCGGAUAUUAGCCCUCCAGUAUUAUCGUGGGGGUCAACGCUGACGGCGGUGCAAGAAAGCUGCGCCUACGUGCGGCGGAAAGUGGUGCAUUCAAAUGUUGCAAAUCUCUUCAUUUUGACGUGUGUGCAUUAAGAAUUUCUAUUAACUCUUUCAUUAACCCUGCGUAUUACCUUGUUUAUCUUUGCUCGUAAAAAAAGACUGUUUCGUAAAUUCAGAAGAGUAAAAUAAAGAAUAAGAAACUUUCGAAUUUAAAUAUUCAUAUGGCAUUACGUAUUCGAGAGAAGACCCUAUUCUUAAGUUCGAGACGGAAUUGUUUGGCCCCGAUCGAAAUUCAAUAAAAUUCGAAAGCUGCUAUAGGUUCGGAGAUCGUUUCAUAACGUUUCUAAGAGAGCCAUUCGUGUAUCGAGUUUCGGUCGCUGAUUUAAAUUUCAGUUGUGCCACUACUACGCGGGAAGGGCCCUCGAAUCAUUAGGAUCUCCAUAAACGGCGGACGGCCUAACGAAGCUUCCUUAAAAUACGCGACGUACGAGCGGUAACGCCGCAGCACCGCAGAAAGAAGAAAGGAAGGAAGAAAGAAGGAAAGGAGGAAGAUCGAGGCCGAAAGUACAUCUGCCGCCUACCCUAUAAACGCACUUGUAAAUCAAGACACGCGCGCAACCGCGAACCGCUUCGCUGGUGAGGCAGAGGCCUAUUGAGUCUUUGAAUUAUUAAUACGAGCUUGCUUACUGGUCCAAUCAAGUCCUCCCACCUGGCCACCUGGUCACUCCUUGGUCGAUGUUCUUUUAGCGAUAUACCAUAUUUGAAAGCGCGCUGCUCGGAUGAUCCUCGACACGAUUAAGCUCUUCGGCGUCUCUUAAGGAGACGGCGAAAAGGAAAGAAGAAAAAUUCAAAGCGCGCCGACGAGAGCUUCGUUCUCAGCGGAGAAGAAAGAGCUUCGGUGUAAUCCAUCACUCUACGUGUGGUAAUACGUAGGGAUGCGCCUCGGCGAACGAUGCGCGAUUUUAUUUUCCAGUGUUGAAGGGAUGUCUAUUGGGCGAAAUGGGCAGGUCGCCGAAAGAUUCUCGAAAAAGUUGUUCCACUUGACAGUCAUUCGUUCUUUUUUUUUUUUUUUUUUUAACGAACGGUUCUGUUUUCUAUUUUUUAUUGUUCAUUCCGUCCUUACAUCUUAAACAGGCGGAUGCAUCCGGGGAGAUCAGCUAUGUUUAUUGCAUGCCGAUUCGUUAAGCGUUUCUCGCACACCCGUCGGCUACCGUGCUCGUAACCAUCGACGAGAGACCAUGCGUGAACGUACGUCUCCCAUGCGCGGGAGAACCCAUGCCCGUGGCAGUGGGAGAACUUUAUGGAAUGGUAUGGGAGGGCGUCGGGUCGGCGCGUGGGCGGCCGCAGGCAGGACGCACGUCUGAAAGCUGGAGAGAGAUAGUCCGCGUGGUAUGCCACGAGGCCGAGGCUCGAGAGGGGAACACACGGGGGGGGGGGGGCAGAAAACGAAAAGAAAGGCGGGAGGAACGACGGAAAGAGAUAGGAGGAAGGAGAGAUGGCAAGAAAGAGGGAACGAGUCGUGGAAUAAGGAAGAACGAUCCUUCUAUGUAUCCACGUAUGGCAAAGGGAUACCGUAGGAGGAAGGGGGACCGAGAGAACGAGGAUAGACAGAAAGUACCGGGCACAAGAGCCUCGAUCCACGGCCGGUUAGGAAUAAAAGGAGUUUUAUAUGACGCCGUGGUUUAUGGCCGUGGGUUUUAUCUGAUCGCAUUGCCACCGGUGCGGAUUUCGCAAUAAAUUAGACCGAGGUGUAAUUAAAAGGGCACCAGUUGCCAUCGUCCCGCGCGACCGUCGUGUAGCCCACUACCGAAUGGAGAGGGUCUCCGUCCUUGGGAAUCUCUUCUUGGGCUUCUUUCGACAGUCGGGAGUACAACGAGCCACGAUAGAGUGUCUUGUUAAUAAUUACGCAAUCAACGCGGAUGUUCGAGCAGACGGAGCGAUCGAACGAUUGCAUUAUUUGAGGAGUGUAGUAAAAUUCUUCCAAUAUAAAAACACGCGUGUUGUAAUCUAUUUUUUUUGCGGGAAGUAUAUCAUUGUGAAUAAGUAAAGAAACUUUAAACUGGCAUUUUGUAUAAUAAGAAUUUUUAAUUAAAAUUUAUUAAUUAAAAACUCUUAUUCCAAAUGUGAGUUAGAGUUAAUUCGUUUACUCAACUGCAACAUAAUAUGUCAGAAAUUAUAAGGGACGUUAAGAAAUCAAGGAAACGGACGCUAAAACAACGAUUAAUUGAUUAGAAGCUUUGGCUCUUUAAGGUUUAAUUGCCAUUAAGCGGAUUGAAAGUUCCAUCUGCGUGCAUCAUAUGCGAUAUCGUUCAGCCGGGAAUGUGUAAUUCAGGGAUUUGAUGAGUGACCGGCGCGUGAUGAGCGAUGCGAUCCAGCGACGACUAAUUUGUCCGUUCGGCAAAUUGAAAUUACACGUUGCUCUCACGGCGCGCCGCGCCGUUUCUCUCGCACGACCGCUGAAUUAUUAUCGCGGUACAAUGCUUAUUCCCGAAAGGGAACGAUGAGCGAUUCGGGCGUUGGUAAGGAUAAUGCCGUGUGUUUCUGACUUUCUCCGCUUUCUGAUCCCCGUACCGCAUUUUCGCGAGCGUCAUUAAUUUUCAGAUAUACCGUAUAUUUUAACAGCGAAAUCAUGGACUGAUUAUUAUUAUGAGCGUCGCGAGCGACAGCCACGUGAGUUUAAUUAUUACUUUUGAACAUUCGCGUGCUCUCUCUCGAGGAACUUUUACGUCGCAAAUCAUGCAGCUUCCUUUCAUGAGAAUCAUUUUUUAUGAGAAUUGAAUCUCACGAAAACAAUGUUAAUGCUAGAACCUUAUUCACAUAUACUCGCGGACACGUGCCGCAUUCGCGAUAAUCGAAGAACAGCGUGGAACUGGUAAUGGACGCAAUCGUGAUAGAAAGAAAUAUGUUCAGAAGCGUUUUGCGGGCAAACUUGUUCGUGACCGAGGUAACAAUCGCGAGGGGUUUUUCAUAAACCGCGAUUUAUUUUACGAUCGUAUCUGUCAAUAUGUUUUUCUUUGAGUUACCGUCGCUGCUGCGCGAGUGAGUAUGCUUCCGCUUUAUCCACCGUCGUGGAAUCGUGACCGCAAAAUAAAUCUAAAGGCGCCUCAGGAUUGCCUUGGUCUCUCUCUCUCUCUCUCUUUCUCUUUUUCUUCUUCGGUUCAUCCUCGCAUUCUCACGGACCUACCCGCGGCCUCCCCGUUUCAUUCCGCGGUCUCCGUGGAAUUUUUACCAAUUUCUGUCCUCCGACGUUCCACGCUCAUCUUUCCUAAAAUUCCCCGAGGAUCCCGACGAUUCUUCUUCCUUAUUUCUCCACCAUACCUUUAUUGUGUUUUUACGAGAUUGCGUCUACCAUAUCCCUCUCUUUCUUUCUUCCGUUUCCUUUCACAGUUCCUUCAUCUCUUAUUUUCUUCCUCCGUCCGCGAUCGUCCUCCUGCCACCCGCCUGGCCUUUAUUACCGCCUCCUCCGUGCCUGGUUUCUUCGCGGAUCUAUUCGUCUCUCGUGGUCUUUCUCUUUCUCUGUCCUCUCGCUCUCUUCUCUCGCGUCUUCUUUCUCUCCCCCUUCGCCAACCCGGUGAUCUCCGACGAUUUCUCCGAGCGACCUCCUCCCCCUACGCCCCCGUCCCAGGAUCCCGACGAGAGAUAACCCUUAUAAACUGGAGCAUUAGUAAGGCGCGGAGCAGCUCCAUGAGAGGGUAUCUGCGAAUCUACACGUUGCGAGGGGGGGGGGGCGCAAAAGGCGUGCCACAAUAAGGCCCGGUAUAUAAACCAUAUCUGCAUCGAGCUGGCCCUCCGCCGCAGAGCAGCGAAUGUCGGACCACCACAAUGUAUAUCGCACGGUCAUACAGACGAGAGCACAGCAUCGCCAACCGGCCGAGUAACGUUCGAGUAUAUCUUCCUUCGAGCAUCUUACUUAUGCCCCAACCGGGAGGGCUCGCACAAAAAUCGACGUAAUUAUCGGGCUCGCGCUUCCUCGGGGAAAUUAAGCGCGAGGAUCGUGCUGCAUUAAGGCAGCGAUAAUGCCGAUGAGAUCGUGAUAAUUAAUUAAUUCCGCGCGAUAUACGAUGCAGCAGCAUUAACAUCAAUGAAAUAUCUUUUUACUCUCUAUUGCUAAUUUAUUUUCAUUGUAGGCGCUGAUGGAUUCAAUGUUCAUAUAAUUUGUCUCAGGUUCGAUAAAAUAUGGGAGACAUAAUAGUGUUGACUGUUCCAUUAUUAUUUAAUACAUUAUAUUAAAAUUUCGGGAAUGAGUUCGUGUUUAUAGCGCCGCGACGAAAGCGGGAUCUCAUGGAAGGAAUGUGAGGACGUUCGCGAUUAAGUUGUAUCAAAUUCGCGAUUGAGCACCUCAUGCAUCGCGAAUUUCACCGGUCGUAAAUGUCCGGCUCGUAGUGUUUCCCAUAAUCUACAAGGGUGAGAGGUAAGGGACCGGCGAGAGAAACGAGGAUCGAUUAUGGCUAUCUUCAACGAAGAGAGAGCGAAAGAGAGAGACGAGCAGAAUCAGACAGAAAAAUAGCCGUGAGAGGAGGAAGCACGAGACGCACGAUUAAAAAAAAAUACGAGGGAGACACGCGUGUGGUGGGAGGAUAAAAAGUGCAAAGCGUAAGAGUCGGAGAUGGCCGAUGUCCGAAUGAGCAAGAGGGAAGGAAUCAUGUGAUGGAAUAAAAAGUGCGAAGUGAGAGAAAGAAGGGAAUGAUGAAGAGGGGUGGAAGGGAAUGAGAGAGGGAGCGAGAGGGACAGCUGGCAAAUUCCUGGCUUGUGGUCGUCGGUCCUCAACGCGCAGGAGGGUAUCCAGGUGUGUGCGAAGGUGACGCUCUACAAUAACUCCUUCGGCUUUAUGCUGUGGGUGGUUUAUAGUUUAUGCGUUUCGCGGGACAAUCACGAGGCCGCGAACGAUCCGGGCUCUUAUUUCUACUGCUCUCCCGUCCUGCUCGAAAAACAACCUCCCUACCUGUUGUUUACGACAAAUUCGAGACGUCAUUGUGCCGACGAUACGUGGUCGCGCGCUCAUACAGCGCAUUCGCGACUUUGCAUUCUGAUGUCCCCGAGAUUUAAGAUACGCGAUGCGACUUCCUCAUCUUUUUUACGGAAUAAUUUUCCAUACGAAGUUAUCGAUAUUAUCGCGACCUCUCGAUGAGUGUCUCAAUAAACAGAGAUCUUCGAUUAAAUCUCCAUUCUUGAUCACCAAAACCCGAACGCGCGCGCGUCCAUUACCGGUCCCUUCCCUUUCAAAUUACGCAAAUGCUGGUUUCGCCGUACAUUAAAUUUAUAAUUACACCGAAGCCCGAUUUCUCGCGCCCGAUUUUCGUGGGAUCUAAUGAGCCGCUGCGAAAACGCGCCCCCACGCGUACCCUUAAUUUUACUCCCUGCAUCGAUCAUAAUUACCAGGCGUGAUAUAUGCGGCUCACAUCUACCGCAGGCAGGUGUGAGGAGUGCCCCUCGCGCGAGUGAUGCAACGCGUACCUCGCGAUAAAUCAAACUUCGAGAAGCGGCGCGGCCCCCGGAUCGAUGUCCGAGAUUGGCAACGUGCCAAUUUUCUCCCGGGAGUGAAAGCAGAUUUCGAGAAGGGCCGACUUGCGCACGACGUCCGCAAUGAUAGGUGUGAUAAAUGCAAUUAUUUACGGUCGAUUAAGAGCACUUCGACGGGCGUUUGAGCCGCCGCGGGUAUCCGAAGCGGCGAGAAAAUGCUUCCGAUCGAAGCCCCCGAUCGGAGGCGGCCGAGUUCACUCGCGUACGAGAGCUCUGUUCGAAUUUUAAGCAGAUUAUCUGCUCAUCCACUCGUAACGGCGCGGCAUGGCGUGUAUUAUGAAAGCCAAGCACCGCGGCCGUGCGGCUCGGUCGAUAUUUUUGCAUAUUUUAAUAAAUUGUCAUCAUAAAGUUCGUUUUCCGAUUGAGUUCAUGGAAUAAUGUAACAUUUAUAUCGUGAAAAUGAAGCUAAACGGAAUAUUGAAUAAAGUAGACAAUAAAUUAUUCAAAGCAAAUGAUAUGUAUGGAACGUUUCCAGUAUUACUAUCAUAUUAUUGUAACUUAAUAUACAAUCAGAAUAAUUUUUUUCUUUUUUUAUUUUUUCAGUUACGAAUGCGAGAGACAUGCAAGUUAACAAUGCGGUACGCAUGCUACCCUCUGUAUUAGCCUAGCAAAGAUCUCCGAUCGUAUCGAAUCGAAGAGGAGACUAUUCACGGAGCUGAGAUCCUUUAUUUCUUCUCGUGCUCCCGAGAUUUCCCCCUUUUCUCCGCUAUCCCCCUUUCCACCCCCUCAAGUGUAGCGUCUUCGAAUUGAUGCAUCGCCGUGUACGAGAAUAUUUCACGUCGCGCGUUUUGUCCCGCGCACGUGAAAAAUAUUCCACUCGCAACCCACGCACAAUGCGUAGAGAAACGUGUGGCGCGAGAGAUACAAGAAGAAAGGAAAUCUUCGAAAUAAAUCAUGGAUCUAGGCAACAGGUGUACGGAUUGCUUCACCAUUCGAGUUCUUGCGUCCAGCGCGUAGAGUGGGAGAUUCAUCUGAAACCAUCCACAUGUAUAUGUAUAUAGUUUUUUUUUUCUGAAUUACCAAAUAUGUCGCGCAUCGCACCGAGGAAAAUGUCCAUCAGGAAAUAAAAUCGUUUUUCUUUCGAACCACGAGAGAGCCACGGAUCUUCUCCGUAACCGUUCUGAAAAACUUUGACUUUGACGUAUUUCGUAUAUUUGUAUCGUAAAGAAUGUCUCUUAGUAAGUGAAAAUAUCCUCUGUAAAAGGCUCAAACCACAUUAUUCAUGUUAUUAUUAAGCUGUAGCGUGCGUAUUUGUGGCGUAUAGUUUGAUUAAUAUGAUUAUUUAUUAAUGUAGCUCAUGGAGACGGCAAAAAAAGCGGCUCGAUGGGGCAAAUGAACGUGUUGGGACCGAGAUGCGGUUCUAGGACCGGUCAAGAAGGAUGGCUUUCCGUGCCGAAUAAAAUGAUAUUAAUCGUAAGGGCCGGCGGGGGUCGGCGGCUCUCCUCUGUCCUAGUUCACAAUAAAUAAAUCCACAGGUCCCCCGGCCCCUGCGGUGUCCCAAUUAAUUCGAUCUUAUUGUAACGCGCGACGCAUCCUCGGGGAUACGCUCUUUGUGAUAUCGACUUUGGUCACGGUCCCCGAGUACAUUAUCAUUCGUCGUGCGUGUCCCCCGCCCCGAUGAAUUUAAUUAAGCCGCGAGCAACACGCUCCGGUCGCUCGAACUCGCCCCGUGCACGAGUUCCGAACGCGCGUGGAAUGCGCGUGUUGGAUAAAUAACUUUCAAAUUACACGCGUAACCAUUACGACGUCGCGCGACGAGGCGGCCCUCUUAUCGGGCCCUCCGUACAGCAAAGUCAAUUUAACUUCUCCCCGCGACUUCUUGGCCACGCCAAAAAAGUUACACAAGCAGCACCGAAGCGUGCUCAAGACCGCACGAAACAAAAUUAAUCCCUGCUAGUGUCGUGAACUGUUGUUGGAGCGGCACAUGUAUACACACACACAUAUAGCAGCUACAAUUCUCAUGAUAAUUAGAAACAACUUUACACGACAAGUCGUCCGUUUGCUACAACUCAAAAUAACUAAAUUUUUCGUUUAAUUCAUUAAAAUUUGCGAUUAUUUUUAAGUACGAUUUUAGUGUAACAAUUUUGAUCUAUUAAUUCAGUAGAUAAACAUAUUAGGUCUUCUAUUGAAUUCUCAUUAGAAUUAUCUUUUUUGUCGACGGCUAGAAAAUAACAAUUAUUUAGUUAUGUCAUUAUUAUACAGCAAAUGAGUGAUGUAUCAUAAACGGGGUAUUUUUCGUCGUUGUACAUAAUUAUAAACGUUUUAAUUAUACAUUUUUUUUUCCUUAAAAA
rnacentral:lncRNA from 1 species